AUUGAACGCUGGCGGCAUGCUUUACACAUGCAAGUCGAACGGUAACAGGCCUUCGGGUGCUGACGAGUGGCGAACGGGUGAGUAAUGCAUCGGAACGUACCCAGAGGUGGGGGAUAACGCAGCGAAAGCUGUGCUAAUACCGCAUGUGAUCUGAGGAUGAAAGCGGGGGACCGAGCAGCAAUGUUUGGCCUCGCGCCUUUGGAGCGGCCGAUGUCGGAUUAGCUAGUUGGGGGGGUAAAGGCCUACCAAGGUGACGAUCCGUAGCUGGUCUGAGAGGACGACCAGCCACACUGGGACUGAGACACGGCCCAGACUCCUACGGGAGGCAGCAGUGGGGAAUUUUGGACAAUGGGCGCAAGCCUGAUCCAGCAAUGCCGCGUGCGGGAAGAAGGCCUUCGGGUUGUAAACCGCUUUUGGCAGGAACGAAACGGUGUCCGCUAAUACCGGGCGAUAAUGACGGUACCUGCAGAAUAAGCACCGGCUAACUACGUG
rnacentral:rRNA from 1 species